GGUUAAGCGACUAAGCGUACACGGUGGAUGCCCUGGCAGUCAGAGGCGAUGAAGGACGUGCUAAUCUGCGAAAAGCGCCGGCGAGGUGAUAUGAACCUUUGACCCGGCGAUGUCCGAAUGGGGAAACCCAGUGUGUUCCGACACACUAUCGUUAACUGAAUACAUAGGUUAACGAGGCGAACCGGGGGAACUGAAACAUCUAAGUACCCCGAGGAAAAGAAAUCAACCGAGAUUCCCCCAGUAGCGGCGAGCGAACGGGGAGCAGCCCAGAGUCUGAAUCAGCUUGUGUGUUAGUGGAAGCGUCUGGAAAGUCGCACGGUACAGGGUGAAAGUCCCGUACACGAAAGCACACAGGCUGUGAACUCGAAGAGUAGGGCGGGACACGUGGUAUCCUGUCUGAAUAUGGGGGGACCAUCCUCCAAGGCUAAAUACUCCUGACUGACCGAUAGUGAACCAGUACCGUGAGGGAAAGGCGAAAAGAACCCCGGCGAGGGGAGUGAAAAAGAACCUGAAACCGUGUACGUACAAGCAGUGGGAGCCUCUUUUAUGGGGUGACUGCGUACCUUUUGUAUAAUGGGUCAGCGACUUAUAUUCUGUAGCAAGGUUAACCGUAUAGGGGAGCCGAAGGGAAACCGAGUCUUAACUGGGCGUUAAGUUGCAGGGUAUAGACCCGAAACCCGGUGAUCUAGCCAUGGGCAGGUUGAAGGUUGGGUAACACUAACUGGAGGACCGAACCGACUAAUGUUGAAAAAUUAGCGGAUGACUUGUGGCUGGGGGUGAAAGGCCAAUCAAACCGGGAGAUAGCUGGUUCUCCCCGAAAGCUAUUUAGGUAGCGCCUCGUGAACUCAUCUUCGGGGGUAGAGCACUGUUUCGGCUAGGGGGCCAUCCCGGCUUACCAACCCGAUGCAAACUACGAAUACCGAAGAAUGUUAUCACGGGAGACACACGGCGGGUGCUAACGUCCGUCGUGAAGAGGGAAACAACCCAGACCGCCAGCUAAGGUCCCAAAGUCAUGGUUAAGUGGGAAACGAUGUGGGAAGGCACAGACAGCCAGGAUGUUGGCUUAGAAGCAGCCAUCAUUUAAAGAAAGCGUAAUAGCUCACUGGUCGAGUCGGCCUGCGCGGAAGAUGUAACGGGGCUAAACCAUGCACCGAAGCUGCGGCAGCGACGCUUAUGCGUUGUUGGGUAGGGGAGCGUUCUGUAAGCCGUUGAAGGUGUCCUGUGAGGGGUGCUGGAGGUAUCAGAAGUGCGAAUGCUGACAUAAGUAACGAUAAAGCGGGUGAAAAGCCCGCUCGCCGGAAGACCAAGGGUUCCUGUCCAACGUUAAUCGGGGCAGGGUGAGUCGACCCCUAAGGCGAGGCCGAAAGGCGUAGUCGAUGGGAAACAGGUUAAUAUUCCUGUACUUGGUGUUACUGCGAAGGGGGGACGGAGAAGGCUAUGUUAGCCGGGCGACGGUUGUCCCGGUUUAAGCAUGUAGGCGGAGGUUCCAGGUAAAUCCGGUUCCUUAUUAACGCUGAGGUGUGAUGACGAGGCACUACGGUGCUGAAGUAACAAAUGCCCUGCUUCCAGGAAAAGCCUCUAAGCAUCAGGUAACAUCAAAUCGUACCCCAAACCGACACAGGUGGUCAGGUAGAGAAUACCAAGGCGCUUGAGAGAACUCGGGUGAAGGAACUAGGCAAAAUGGUGCCGUAACUUCGGGAGAAGGCACGCUGAUAUGUAGGUGAAGCCCCUGCGGGUGGAGCUGAAAUCAGUCGAAGAUACCAGCUGGCUGCAACUGUUUAUUAAAAACACAGCACUGUGCAAACACGAAAGUGGACGUAUACGGUGUGACGCCUGCCCGGUGCCGGAAGGUUAAUUGAUGGGGUUAGCGGUAACGCGAAGCUCUUGAUCGAAGCCCCGGUAAACGGCGGCCGUAACUAUAACGGUCCUAAGGUAGCGAAAUUCCUUGUCGGGUAAGUUCCGACCUGCACGAAUGGCGUAAUGAUGGCCAGGCUGUCUCCACCCGAGACUCAGUGAAAUUGAACUCGCUGUGAAGAUGCAGUGUACCCGCGGCAAGACGGAAAGACCCCGUGAACCUUUACUAUAGCUUGACACUGAACACUGGUCCUUGAUGUGUAGGAUAGGUGGGAGGCUUUGAAGCGUGGACGCCAGUCUGCGUGGAGCCAACCUUGAAAUACCACCCUUUAAUGGCUGGUGUUCUAACGUAGACCCGUGAUCCGGGUUGCGGACAGUGUCUGGUGGGUAGUUUGACUGGGGCGGUCUCCUCCCAAAGAGUAACGGAGGAGCACGAAGGUUAGCUAAUCCUGGUCGGACAUCAGGAGGUUAGUGCAAUGGCAUAAGCUAGCUUGACUGCGAGAGUGACGGCUCGAGCAGGUGCGAAAGCAGGUCAUAGUGAUCCGGUGGUUCUGAAUGGAAGGGCCAUCGCUCAACGGAUAAAAGGUACUCCGGGGAUAACAGGCUGAUACCGCCCAAGAGUUCAUAUCGACGGCGGUGUUUGGCACCUCGAUGUCGGCUCAUCACAUCCUGGGGCUGAAGUAGGUCCCAAGGGUAUGGCUGUUCGCCAUUUAAAGUGGUACGCGAGCUGGGUUUAGAACGUCGUGAGACAGUUCGGUCCCUAUCUGCCGUGGGCGCUGGAGAAUUGAGGGGGGCUGCUCCUAGUACGAGAGGACCGGAGUGGACGCAUCACUGGUGUUCGGGUUGUCAUGCCAAUGGCACUGCCCGGUAGCUAAAUGCGGAAGAGAUAAGUGCUGAAAGCAUCUAAGCACGAAACUUGCCCCGAGAUGAGUUCUCCCUGAGACUUUAAGUCUCCUGAAGGAACGUUGAAGACUACGACGUUGAUAGGUCGGGUGUGUAAGCGCAGCGAUGCGUUGAGCUAACCGAUACUAAUGAACCGUGAGGCUUAACCUU
rnacentral:rRNA from 2 species